UCCAUGGGCUACGCUGGGUUCCAGUCACCUUCCUUGAAGUGUAAAGGUGAACAAAUUAAGACUCUUAAUUUGACAUAUUUGAAAGAAGUGCAGUCGGUUCUUGCAGUUAAAACAUUUAUGGAUGGCCAGCUGCAGGUUAUAAGAUGAAAUGAAGACACAUUCAUAAUCUGAAUAAGAUCACUACAUUCAAUAAACUGUACAACCUUCAUAUUUGUACUUCCCUUGAAGAAGGCAAAGGGACGACCACAUAAAACUCUUGCACCAGGAAUGAAGAGUAAUUUUCAAACGGAGGUGGGCAAGGUGGCAAUGGUCAUCCAACAUCAUGAGAAAUUUAACCAAGAUCCCAUUUUUUCUUUUCAACUGAAAGUGAAAGAACUCAUGGCACUAUUUUGAAGAAGAGGAGGGGAAUUAUCCAAGUGUCUUGGUUGCAAAAAUUUCCAGAGAAUGGCAACAGGUGCUAAAGGACUUUCACCUGAUCUUAAGGCUUCUGCACAAACCAGCUGUUAUCAGAUAUGAGUUCAGUAUCAGACAUCCUUCCUGAAGUACAGCAGUGGGAAAAUGUGCAGAGGGAACCCAGUACAGGACAAGCUGGGGGCCAUAUCUAUCCUUGAUGUUUAAGAGCAAGGCACCAACCCGAACCACAGGAAAGAAUGAUCUGAGACAUCUACUCUUCAAUAUAGUCUCAUUGAAACCUGUCAUCCACAACUGCUACCUCAGAGCAGGCCAAGGACCAUAUAGCCCAACAUCUGUGAAGUUAAAUGUUGUCAUGACAUGUCAAAUGUUCAGUCUUUCCAGGCUGGGAUGGAAUAUAGUCAAGGUUAGAAUGGUGGAGGAGAAAGUGAGGACUGCAGAUGCUGGAGAUCAGAGCUGAA